CGCUGGCGGCGUGCUUAACACAUGCAAGUCGAGCGAUGAAGCUUCUUCGGAAGUGGAUUAGCGGCGGACGGGUGAGUAACACGUGGGUAACCUGCCUCAUAGAGGGGAAUAGCCUUCCGAAAGGAAGAUUAAUACCGCAUAAGAUUGUAAUAUCGCAUGAUAUAGCAAUUAAAGGAGUAAUCCGCUAUGAGAUGGACCCGCGUCGCAUUAGCUAGUUGGUGAGGUAACGGCUCACCAAGGCGACGAUGCGUAGCCGACCUGAGAGGGUGAUCGGCCACAUUGGGACUGAGACACGGCCCAGACUCCUACGGGAGGCAGCAGUGGGGAAUAUUGCACAAUGGGGGAAACCCUGAUGCAGCAAACCGCCGCGUGAGUGAUGACGGUCUUCGGAUUGUAAAGCUCUGUCUUCAGGGACGAUAAUGACGGUACCUGAGGAGGAAGCCACGGCUAACUACGUGCCAGCAGCAGC
rnacentral:rRNA from 1 species